rnacentral:rRNA from 1 species
UAAACCAUGCACCGAAGCUGCGGCAGCGACACUAUGUGUUGUUGGGUAGGGGAGCGUUCUGUAAGCCUGCGAAGGUGACCUGUGAGGGUUGCUGGAGGUAUCAGAAGUGCGAAUGCUGACAUAAGUAACGAUAAAGCGGGUGAAAAGCCCGCUCGCCGGAAGACCAAGGGUUCCUGUCCAACGUUAAUCGGGGCAGGGUGAGUCGACCCCUAAGGCGAGGCCGAAAGGCGUAGUCGAUGGGAAACAGGUUAAUAUUCCUGUACUUGGUGUUACUGCGAAGGGGGGACGGAGAAGGCUAUGUUAGCCGGGCGACGGUUGUCCCGGUUUAAGCAUGUAGGCUGGUUGUCCAGGCAAAUCCGGAUAAUCAAGGCUGAGGUGUGAUGACGAGGCACUACGGUGCUGAAGUAACAAAUGCCCUGCUUCCAGGAAAAGCCUCUAAGCAUCAGGUAACAUCAAAUCGUACCCCAAACCGACACAGGUGGUCAGGUAGAGAAUACCAAGGCGCUUGAGAGAACUCGGGUGAAGGAACUAGGCAAAAUGGUGCCGUAACUUCGGGAGAAGGCACGCUGGUGUGUAGGUGAAGUCCCUGCGGAUGGAGCUGAGACCAGUCGAAGAUACCAGCUGGCUGCAACUGUUUAUUAAAAACACAGCACUGUGCAAACACGAAAGU